UAGUAUUAGUAUUAAGCUUUUAAUGACUUGACCUCAAAUCAGGUAGGACUACCCGCUGAACUUAAGCAUAUCAAUAAGCGGAGGAAAAGAACUAACAAGGAUUCCCCCUAGUAACUGCGAGUGAAGAGGGAAAAGCUCAAAUUUUGAAUCUGGCAGUCUUUUGGCUGUCCGAGUUGUAAUCUAGAGAAGCGUCUUCCGCACUGGGCCGUGUACAAGUCUCCUGGAAGGGAGCGUCAUAGAGGGUGAGAAUCCCGUCUUUGACACGGGCUAUCCAGGGCUUAUGUGUUGCGCUCUCGACGAGUCGAGUUGUUUGGGAAUGCAGCUCAAAAUGGGUGGUAAAUUCCAUCUAAAGCUAAAUACAGGCGAGAAACCGAUAGCGAACAAGUACCGUGAGGGAAAGAUGAAAAGAACUUUGGAAAGAGAGUUAAACAGUAUGUGAAAUUGCUGAAAGGGAAACACUUGAUGUCAGUCACAUUGAUUAGGGAUCAACCUUGCCUUUACGGGUGGGGUGUAUUUCUUAGUGAAUGGGUCAGCAUCAGUUUUGGUCACAGUAGAAGGGCAAGAGAAAUGUGGCAUUCUUAGGAGUGUGUUAUAGUCUUUUGUCGUAUGCAGUGGUUGGGACUGAGGAACUCUGCACAGACUUGUUUUUGUGCAUAGGUUGCUGGCAUAAUGGCCUUAAGUGACCCGUCUGGAAAACACGG
rnacentral:rRNA from 1 species